CUCUCACUUCCAUUUUCACCUCCUUUCCUGAAGCAGGUGUCCAGUUCCUGGAGCAGAGUUCCUCAGGCAGCAGAGCUGCUCAGCCUAGUUCUGAUCGUGAUGAACCGGACCCUGAAGAGUCUGAUCAGUGUUCAGAGUAAACACUGUCAGUUCAGAGGAUGAGAUCCAAACUGUUAUGCUAUCCUGCUAUUUUAUUAAAAACAUCUGAUAACAAAACUA